AUAAGAUGCAGAUGGAAACAUGCUGUAUACCUGACGCACCGAAUUAACGUUUAAGCGAGAUGUAAGCUCGCCGGAGUUGGGGAGCCACGAUGUGGCUUUUUCUUUUAG
rnacentral:sRNA from 12 species